UACGAAGGGUGCAAACGUUGCUCGGAAUUAUUGGGCGUAAAGCGCACGUAGGCGGCAUCGCAAGUCCCAUGUGAAAGCCCACGGCUUAACCGUGGAAGUGCAUGGGAAACUGCAGUGCUUGAGUACUUAAGAGGAUCGCGGAAUUCCUGGUGUAGCGGUGAAAUGCGCAGAUAUCAGGAGGAACACCGGUGGCGAAGGCGGGUCUCUGGGCCGAUACUGACGCUGAGGAGCGAAAGCGUGGGGAGCGAACAGG
rnacentral:rRNA from 1 species